UUAUGUGAUCGUCUCUCGCAUAUCAAUAAGCGGAGGAAAAGAAACUAACAAGGAUUCCCCUAGUAACGGCGAGUGAAGCGGGAAGAGCUCAAAUUUGAAAUCUUAAAGGGUUUCCCUUUACGAAUUGUAGUUUAAAGAAGUGUUUUCUGUUGAGGUUUUGGUAAAAGUUCUUUGGAAUAGGACAUCAUAGAGGGUGAGAAUCCCGUAUUUGACCUUUACUUUCAACAUUUGUGAUACACUUUCAAAGAGUCGGAUUGUUUGGGAAUGCAGUCCAAAAUGGGUGGUAAAUUUCAUCUAAAGCUAAAUAUUGGCGAGAGACCGAUAGCGAGCAAGUACCGUGAGGGAAAGAUGAAAAGAACUUUGAAAAGAGAGUUAAACAGUACGUGAAAUUGUCAAAAGGGAAGCGUUUGACACCAGUGUUGUUUUUCUGAAAAUCAAUUAAAGAACUGUUUAUGCUAAGUUGUUUAGACUUUAUCAGCUAACUGUUUAGUUUUGAGCUUUUCUUUAAUGCACUUUUCAGUUAACAAGUCAACAUCAAUUUCUUUUGCUGUAAAAAAGCUUGAGGAAGGUGGCUUGAGAUUCGUCUUAAGUGUUUAUAGCCUCUUGCCUAUGCAGUCGGAGAGAUUGAGGUCUGCAGCGUAGAUCCUUCGGGGCUAAAUGCAUUUGUGCUAAGUUAUAGCAUUUUAUAGACAACUUGUUGACUAUGAUUUGUCUUGUAGCUUACUCGCUUAUGUUAUUUUACCUACGCUUAGGAUGUUGAAGACUCUACAGAGAUA
rnacentral:rRNA from 1 species